GCUUGGCCCUAAACCUCAGUAGUUAGAUAACAAAACUACUCGCCAGAAUACUACGAGCAACAGCUUAAAACUCAAAGGACUUGACGGUGCUUUACAUCCCCCUAGAGGAGCCUGUUCCGUAAUCGAUAAACCCCGAUCCACCCCACCCUCUCUUGCUCAGCCUAUAUACCGCCAUCUUCAGCAAACCCUAAUGAAGGCUACAAAGUGAGCGCAAACGCCACUGCCGCGAAUACGUUAGGUCAAGGUGUAGCCCAUGAGACGGUAAAAAAUGGGCUACAUUUUCUAUUUCAGAAAACCCCACGAAAACUCUUAUGAAACUUAAGAGUCCAAGGAGGAUUUAGCAGUAAAUUAAGAAUAGAGUGCUUAAUUGAACCAGGCCAUAAAGCGCGC
rnacentral:rRNA from 1 species